UAUUCUAUCUAAUUGCAUCACUCUCAACUUUUAAGCAGAUGCUUAAAGGAGAUCCACCACUUUCAAAUUACGAGCCUCAUGAAACAGCCAAAUUUGUUGCAGAAGGACACACCCCUGAACCGAAAAACAAAUGAUGAAAUGAAAGUCGCUGAAUUGAAAGCUAAACUUGGCAGUGAGAUGAACAAAAUUGAAGGCCUUUAUUUCUGGCAAGUCUUCCAAGCUACUAACAUUUUGGCGACCAAAUUUGAUCUGCUGAGCGUGGUUUCUUCCCAUGUUGCAGAAAAGGAAAAAGGAUUAUGUUUUAAAUCUUUUAGAGCAUGACACCCAUGGCUUAUGAACUAUAGUAUGUAAAAGCUUUCCGGUAACCAUUUAUAGUUGUUCCAACAGUGACUGUAAGUAAGAAACUAAGAAUACUCAAUAUUCUUAUAAUUCCA